rnacentral:lncRNA from 1 species
CUUAUCUCACCUACCUAUCCUUCUUUAGUCGGUUACAAGUUGUUCAAGCAGCUGUUACAAGUCGCUGAUGAUGUUUAUGAUCCAAUGUGGAUCUUAUUUCAGUUGUUGAUCCUUCGUGUGGAUCUGUGGUUACUAUAGAUCCUGUGGAUCUCUGUUUUGGUUGUAUUGUCCUUGUUAAUCAACUGAUAAUCAUCAGUUGAUUAUUUAUUAUUUCUUGUACUGUUUGUAUUUUGGAUCUUACAGUUUGUAAGGUCUUGGGCGUUGGGUGUUUUUCGGUUUGGGUAACUAAUAAGAUUUUUACGUCACGUUUUGUCGCUUCUUUUGUGUUUCUUGUUGUUUCUGUGUUUGUAUUGUGAGUCUUUCAUACCAUUUUGACAUGGUAUCAGAGCCACAGGCUCUUGAUUCGUUGUUUUUUUUUUCAAAGUUUUGUUAAUAAUAAAAACCCUUAUUUGUUCAUUUGAUUCAUGGAUCUGAAGUGUUGGGUUUAUUAUUGUUUGAGUAUUUCUGAUCUUGGGGUUCAACCGUGUUUUGAGUUUUUAAGUGCUCUUGUGACUUAGUGGUUGUUCGAUUCUAGUGUCUUCCGCUGCAAGAGUGAUUCGUCUUUUAGGGUUUCUUUCGUCUUGAACCCUAGAUUUUUUGUUUGUCUCGUUGUCGAUUGGUUUAGGGUUCAAUCACACAUUUUCAAUCCUAAGUCGAAGGUUCUCCUGAUAUUUGGUGUUCUAGCACUGUUCGUUGUACAAAACCCUAGCUCAAGCAGUCUCUGAAAAAACAGCACAUCUUGAUUCGCUGGUCUCUUUGGCAAGGUUAUUGUGGAAAAGGGACGUUAAUAUAUUGUUGUCAAUUUGGGCUUGUUCAAGUUGAAACUGCUGAUCCGUGUUUAGAGUGUUGUACCCAGGGUUUCUAGCGACCUGAAUAUGAUCUAUUGUUCUUUUCACAGUAAAUCCAAAAUUACCACUUAUUGGAAGAUUAGGGGGCAAAGUGAAACAUGGGCUGUUGCUGUUAUAAAAAAGGAAAAGUUAAGUGUAUCUGGAUGAUUCUUACACGCCUGUUUCUCUCUUAUCUCACCUACCUAUCCUUCUUUAGUCGGUUACAAGUUGUUCAAGCAGCUGUUACAAGUCGCUGAUGAUGUUUAUGAUCCAAUGUGGAUCUUAUUUCAGUUGUUGAUCCUUCGUGUGGAUCUGUGGUUACUAUAGAUCCUGUGGAUCUCUGUUUUGGUUGUAUUGUCCUUGUUAAUCAACUGAUAAUCAUCAGUUGAUUAUUUAUUAUUUCUUGUACUGUUUGUAUU